rnacentral:misc_RNA from 1 species
GGAGAAGCUUCAGAAGUUGCAACAAGAGGAAGAAGAGCUACAGUUACAAAAGCUUAAAAAGAGGAAGAUUAAGGCUGACCCUCGGCUCUCCUUUUGUGAUGAUUUGGAUAAUGGCAAUGAAGAUGAAGAUGAGGAAAAUAAGAAUGAAGAAUCUGACAAGCGCGUGUGGAGAAAGUUUGGGAAAGAUCCUACAGUAGAGACAAGCUUCUUGCCGGACAGUGAGAGGGAGGCAGAGGAACAAGCAGAACGUGAAAGGCUCCGGAAACAGUGGUUGCGCGAACAGGAGCUAAUCAAAAAUGAGCCUCUACAGAUAACUUAUAGCUAUUGGGAUGGAACAGGCCAUAGGCGGGUGAUCCAGGUGCGGAAGGGUGAUAGCAUAGGAGAGUUUCUUCGGGCUGUUCAGCAGCAACUUG